rnacentral:misc_RNA from 1 species
GCGGUAGUAAGAGAUGAAGAGAUAGCAGAGAAACUAUUGGGGGCUUGCACGGCUAGUAACCGCGUCCUCUUGGACAACGGCGUGAAACAGCCGCAAAUUAGAUUCUCCAGAGGCCGGGCGACGGCAUGGCCAUUGCCAAACCACAACGCCACGGGGCCUGACAUUGCCAAAUUGUAUGGGAGUACGUGAACGUAACGUUGCAUUAUGUGAACGUGCGUGGACACGCGCGGGCGCGAAACGCGUCCGCCUCAGCAAAAUAUAGGUCGUGCGAGCAAGUCGCGCCGAUCGAGAAGAGUGUUUUAUAAACGCGAAUCGAUAAUGAUCUUCUGUGUUUGUCGGAAGUAUGCUUUCAUGUAGGCCGCUUUUUCAGUUCUAGCUAACCCGGUGAUUUUUUGUAAAAGCUACAGCACUUGGGUGACAAGACGAUUAAUAACGUUAUCUUGUUAAGCUUAUAUUAUUUGCAAAUGAUAUGCUUAUCCUGUGUCAGCAAUUAUAUGUUUUUAAUGAUUAGGCGCAUCAAAGUAAAUAUCUCGUUGCG